rnacentral:rRNA from 1 species
CCUACAGGUGGCAGCAGUGAGGAAUCUUGGUCAAUGGCCGGAAGGCUGAACCAGCCAAGCCGCGUGAAGGACGAAGGUGCCAAGCAUUUUAAACUUCUUUUGUCAAGGGACAAAAUCAGGCUCGAAAGCCGGACCGAGGGUACUUGAAGAAAAAGCAUCGGCUAACUCCGUGCCGACAGCCGAGGUAAUACGGAGGAUGAGCGUGUUAUCCGGAUUUAUUGGGUUUAAAGGUGGCGAAGGCGGGCUGUUAAGUCAGCGUUAAAAGCCCGGGGAUCAACCCCGGCGAGCCGUUGAAACUGGCUGUCGUGAGAUGUCGAGAGGUAUGUGGAAGUCGCAGUGUAGCGGUGAAAUGCUUAGAUAUUGCGCAGAACUCCGAUUGCGAAGGCAGCAUACCGGCGGCGAUCUGACGCUGAGGCACGAAAGCGUGGGUAUCGAACAGGAUUAGAUACCCCUGUAGUC